UCACCCACGCCACAGAGGUAGAAACGUGCAUCACUCACCAGGUCAGCUUCACACUCUCUCUUGCAAGUGCUCUGCGCGUCUACCCACAGGUUGGGGUUCAUGUCAUUGGGGCAUAUCCCAGCAUGGGAAUACCGGAUUGGAGGCAGAGCUCUCCCUUUCAGAGAGACCUCCAGAAGCAAGAGGACACUGCUCUUCCCCAGCAAGAUCCACAUCCACCGAGUGAACAGCACCACCAGCAUCUCAGAACUUCUCCAGGGCAAUGGCAGGGACUGAGCUGGAAGCAGUUCUUGUCUGCCUGGGGCUGCUUUGUUUUGUUCGUAAGCCUUAAAUUUUCGAGGAACCCAAAUGCACUUGACUUCGGUAAAAACUUCAGCAAGCUCCUUCGCUGCCUCUGCUGAUAGUGCAGCGUGGUCUGGACCUCAUUGGAUUAAAGGUCCUAGGAAGUUACCCCCUUAUUUUAAGAGAAACGCUAAUAGUCUGAGCAGAGUUAGCUCUAUUUAUACCCUGCCUCUGUUAACAAGUCAGAAAAAGUAAACUUGAUUUCUUUGACAGGCACACGCUUCCUAUGUCCUGGUGGCAGUCAGACAGAUUUGUUGCAAGAAAAAAAAGCUGGAAAGAGUUCAAAAGGCUGGAACUGGCAUGGUGGGACCCCUGCAUGUUUCUGAAUGCAGGGAGGCCUUCUUAACCCCUUUAGACCUAAAGUACUUCCCUAUGCUAAGAAUGGCAUUUACUUCUGAAAGAGUACUUGUCUAAAUAACACGGACCCGCGGGCAGGGGAUUUCCCCACGGCAAGGGGCUACACAAUCACUUGCUAAAAGGAACAAGUAAUAGGAUUGAAGCAAUUAAAGCUCGAAUAUCAUAUUUUAACAAAGGAAGUGGGGAAGAAAUAACUGAUUUAAACUCAGGAGAGACAAAGCCGUCGUCUUCACUGCUUCUCCCGGGGCUCCUCCAGGCUGUUUUGCUUCUCUUUGGUGGGGAAGGUUUCCAGGAUGCCGAGUUUAAUGCUGCCCUCCGAGCCCACCAGCAAGAUGUUAAAAGUGUCCCUGAAUUCCUCCACAUUUCCUGACAGCCAGAUCCCAUUGUACAGUGCAUUGCUGACCCCUUUAACAGCAACGACAAAAAAAUAGUACAAGUUCAACUCUAUGGAAACCUGCAUAAAGGAAUGUACAGCAUUUUUGCAUCGGGGGGCGGGGGGGAAAUGCAGUCAAGCUGAGUUCCUCCGUCCCUGAUUAUUACAGCAAGGGGCUGAUCCUGCUCGUGCUGAACACGUGCCAAAAGCCAGGGACGAGCGGCAGAAGCCAGAGUCGCUCAGCACCUUCCAGGAUUAGAGCCUUUGGGCUGAGCUCUGGGCUGGCUUGGAUGGAUCCUGUGUGGUGCUAAGAGCCAGAUUAAGGAUCCCUUGCCCAGAGGCACAUUUCAGCUGUGGGGGAGCAGUGUGAGUCUCUAAAGAGCCAGAAACUGGCUUGCAUCAGACAGAGCAGUCUCUGCUUUGCUGUGUCCUCCUCCAUCCACAGGGAUAUUCUCCAGGGACAGGUCAGUUUGAAUGAGGAUAACAGCGAGGUGCAGGCCUGGCAUGUGCUCAGGCUGAGUGCUCAGCACAUCUUUCACCAGAGCCGGUGGUGUUUCUCCGGAACGAAUUUAAAGCAGGGAGGAAAUCACUUACUGAGUGUCACACAGCAGCAGCUGCAGAAGGCUGGAGCCCCCAGACCCUGCUGCCCACCCCAUGGGCACCAUUUGCUUGUCAGAAAGCUAGUUCAGUAUAGAAAUGUCAUGUUGCUUUUGUUUGUGAUGUGAUUCAGCUUAUUAAACAGGAAGGUUUUAACCUGCUGUGCUAAUUUCAUUUAACACAACCCCAUCAUCUUCCUUGAAAAGCCAGCUCCUCCUGAUUCAUGCUGUAAGCCUGUGACUUCAGCACGAAGGUCUCAUCUCGCUGUCACUCUGAGCUGUUCCUUUUAGAAAGCAUAAGGACCUAUUGGUGGAUGAGGGUUUGUCAGGUGAGAUAAAGGUGAGAUAAAAACUGCUGCACCAUUGCCUGGAUUUGUGCUUCAUUGUGAGACUUCAGCAAACCCCUGAAUCCAUGGAAGUUUGAAGCCCUCACUGUGGCUGGGAGCCUCUCCAGCUCCCAGUGACUGGGCUUUACAUCAGGCAACAAGCCAAGGUUGUUGGCUUCUCUGGACAACCUGGAAGUGCCAGAGCUCCUCCGAGGGUUUGGUAUCCAAAACUUCGCUAUAAACAAUAAUUAAUGUUCACAAAAUGGAGCUAUUUCCAUUUCUGCAAAAUGCCAUCAAAUCCUUUUAGUGUCAGUUCUGUCUUCAUGGAAUUUAAACCUAAAUUAGGACAAAAUUUCUUUUAACUGAAGACUUAUUGCCUUCGUUUGCCUUUGCUGGCUGUUAGUGGUCCUGCUGCCACUCAGUGCAUCCUUCAGCCAUGCUCAGUGUGACCUCUGCCAGGAGCAGUCCCGACCAGGUAGCUCAGCCCUGUGGACCAGAUAGGACACAUCAUACUGUCUGCACUGCUGGAACCUAGAUGAUGGCCAUCAGAAAGGGUGAGUAAGUCUCUUCUGGGCCGCUGACACCCCACUCAAAAUGCCCAAAGGAGACUAAAUGCAUACAUGGCAUUAAGAGAGUGCUCCUCUCCUGGCAUUCAUUCAGCAGAUGAUCUGAACACUGGCUGGAAGUGCAAGUGAUGUCUCCAAAGCAGUGAUGAUCUGCUUCCAUUGAGCUUUCAGGUGCUAAGCCACCCCUGCCUGCUCUGGUAAUGGGAUGUUUGUGUUCAUUAGUGGCUCUUUUCAUUGUAACUCCUUCUGAUUUCAGCUAAUUCAACACACGUUUGCAUUUUGAUCUUUUAUUGUUUGCCGUGUGAAGAGAGCACCUGCAGCCUACACCACAGCAGGGUUCACUGAGAUGCAGCACUUUCCUAUCCACAGCAGCUUGGUCCUCGGUUGCCUGAGGUGAUGGUGGCCAGCAGAGCCAUUGCAGAUUUGUCGAUCUGGAAUUGUGAUCAACAUGGGACCCAUUCCUGCCUCUGCCACUGUGAGCCUAGACCACUCCUGCCUCUGUGCCACAGCCUCCACCCCUCUGAAGGGGACCAUAAAGCCCACAGGUGACAUCAGUUUGUCUCCUAAAUCCCUGCUUCUUGCCAUUGCCACAGAAGUGAUGUGCGAGUGUGAGGUGUGAUAUGCUGCAACCCCAAACCUGCCUGGAAACUGUACCUACAGCCAUUUGUUUGCAUGUCUUAAGCUGCAGCUUAAGCAGGACCCUUUCCAGCUCACACACACAUAGUUCUUUUUUUAACUUUGCCAUGGCUUUAAGGCUAAUACCAUUGCUGUUUCAGAACAUAUACUGGGUUUGGACUUUCUCAGCUCCUCAGUUUCCCUGAGGAAUCUGGUGUACCAAUGGCCAUGGAAAACCAGGUUAAGCGCACAGUAGAGGCUUUCAUGGCCCCUAAUCUUGAUGACAAAAUUAUUUGAACAAACAC